rnacentral:misc_RNA from 1 species
AAAAAAAAAAAAAAAAGAGAGGAAAACAAGUGUUGAAAUCUACCAGACCUGAUUGUCUAACAUCUGAUCAAAUCAAAAAUUAAAACUAAGCGGCAGAUUAUCAUUUGAAUAUUAGAGGACAAAAGAAAAAAAAAAGAACCAAUACAUUUAGGGAAUAACUUAAUAUACAAAAAAAUACACGAUGAUUUAAGUGAAUGUUAAAGAAUUACGGUUCUGGCCAGAACAACACAUCCACAUAUUUGCUUGCAACUAUUAUAUACACUAGAAUAAAAUAAAAAACAGGAUAUAACAUUCACGACUAAAUGAUAGAAUUGAAACCAAUUAUUCAAAGCUAUAAGUGUCUGCAUACAAAUGGCACUUUAAACUUCUGAUGCGGGCUGUAAGCAACUCUUAUGUGCUGUUGAUCAGUCUCUACUUAAACAGGAUGCCUGAUUAUCACUGGAAUAGAAAUCUUCAGUGACUAUCUUUAAUGAAAGUGCCACACACAUAGCCAACUAAGAGAACACAAUAAUCCACCUUGACCACACUGGCAUCAUUAGUCCAGUAAUAGGAUAACUUUCAUACUUGUUUGCAUAUCACAAAAACUUCUCAUUCAUUGAUGAGUUUCCAAUUAAAAGAUUAUGGAAUGUGGAAAUAUAGCACAAAAAUGAAAUUCUCAAUGUGCGUCUCUUUCCAUAAAUAAUAGGCCGAAAGUAUGUUUUAACCCUAACCUUUAUCUAAAAAGCAUUGUGGCACCCUGCCCUUUGAAAAUGUCUUAUCUCGCACUUUAACUUUAUAAAGUGGAAUUUAGUGAACCUUGCAAUCCUAGUCACCAUCAAAAUUUAAGGAGAAAUUGGACUAGUUGAGGGUACCAUUAGGCUUUUUUGGUAAAGGUUAAAGGUUAAUUUACGUAUUCAAUUUAAAUCUUCUUAAAUUUAUUAAAUUACGAAAAUUCAGGUGUGAAACAAUACAUUUUUAAAGUUGAGGGAGGGUGCCACACAGCUUUUUUGAUAAAUGUCAGGAGUUUAAUUAAUGCAUUCAGCCUAAAUAAUAAAAAUAGGUUCAUAGUAUUGCUAUAGAGUAUAACAGCACUGAAGGACUUAAUGGGUAGGGAUUAAGGCUUAAAUCAAAUCUGGUGAAGCAGAAUGAGUACCUUGAUGGUUGGAAUAACGACA